GCCGAAGGGGGCUAGCGUUGCUCGGAAUUACUGGGCGUAAAGGGCGCGUAGGCGGAUAUUUAAGUCGGGGGUGAAAGCCCGGGGCUCAACCUCGGAAUUGCCUUCGAUACUGGAUAUCUUGAGUUCGGGAGAGGUGAGUGGAAUGCCGAGUGUAGAGGUGAAAUUCGUAGAUAUUCGGCGGAACACCAGUGGCGAAGGCGGCGACCUGGGCCAAUAUUGACGCUGAGGUGCGAAAGCGUGGGGAGCAAACAGG
rnacentral:rRNA from 1 species